rnacentral:rRNA from 1 species
UACGGGGGAGGCAAGCGUUAUCCGGAAUUAUUGGGCGUAAAGCGUCCGCAGGUGGUCAGCCAAGUCUGCUGUCAAAUCAGGUUGCUUAACGACCUAAAGGCGGUAGAAACUGGCAGACUAGAGAGCAGUAGGGGUAGCAGGAAUUCCCAGUGUAGCGGUGAAAUGCGUAGAGAUUGGGAAGAACAUCGGUGGCGAAAGCGUGCUACUGGGCUGUAUCUGACACUCAGGGACGAAAGCUAGGGGAGCGAAAGGG